rnacentral:rRNA from 1 species
CCUACGGGCGGCAGCAGUGGGGAAUAUUGCGCAAUGGGCGAAAGCCUGACGCAGCGACGCCGCGUGAGGGAUGAAGGUCUUCGGAUCGUAAACCUCUGUCAGCGGGGAAGAACGGUCACUGUGCUAAUCAGCAGUGAAUUGACGGUACCUGCAGAGGAAGCACCGGCUAACUCCGUGCCAGCAGCCGCGGUAAUACGGAGGGUGCGAGCGUUAAUCGGAAUUACUGGGCGUAAAGCGCUCGUAGGCGGUAUGUCAAGUCAAGGGUGAAAUCCCCGCGCUCAACGUGGGAACUGCCUUUGAAACUGGCAAACUGGAGUGUGGUAGAGGGUAGUGGAAUUCCAGGGGUAGGAGUGAAAGCCGUAGAUAUCUGGAGGAACAUCAGUGGCGAAGGCGACUAUCUGGCACAUAACUGACGCUGAGGAGCGAAAGCGUGGGUAGCAAACAGGAUUAGAUACCCUGGUAGUC